AGGAUAAACGCUGGCGGCGUGCCUAACACAUGCAAGUCGAACGUCUCUUUCUUCGGGAAGAGGAGUGGCGGACGGGUGAGGAACACGUGGGAACCUGCCCUACAGUGAGGAAUACCGGCGAGAAAUCGCCGACAAGACCGCAUAGCCUCGGUGCAAGCCGAGGAAAGCUUUCUCGAGAGAGGGAGCGCCACACGAGGAGCCUGCGCCCGAUUAGCUAGCUGGUGGAGUAACGGUUCACCAGGGCGACGAUCGGUAGCUGGUCUGAGAGGACGAUCAGCCACACUGGGAUUGAGAACGGCCCAGACUCCUACGGGGGGCAGCAGUGAGGAAUUUUCGUCAAUGGGGGCAACCCUGAACGAGCAACGCCGCGUGCAGGAAGAAGGUUUUCGGAUCGUAAACUGCUUUUCUCGGGAAGAGAACGGACGGUACCCGAGGAAUCGAGCCCCGGAUAACUACGUGCCAGCAGCCGC
rnacentral:rRNA from 1 species